rnacentral:rRNA from 1 species
AUUUUCCUACGGGAGGCAGCAGUGAGGAAUAUUGGUCAAUGGCCGAGAGGCUGAACCAGCCACGUCGCGUGAGGGAUGACGGCCCUACGGGUUGUAAACCUCUUUUGUCGGGGAGCAAGACCCGCCUCGUGCAGGCGGAGCGAGAGUACCCGAAGAAAAAGCAUCGGCUAACUCCGUGCCAGCAGCCGCGGUAAUACGGAGGAUGCGAGCGUUAUCCGGACUUAUUGAGUCUAAAGGGUGCGCAGGCGGACCAUCAAGUCAGCGGUAAAAUCGUGGGGCCCAACCCCAUCCCGCCGUUGCAACUG